UACGUAGGGUGCGAGCGUUGUCCGGAAUUAUUGGGCGUAAAGGGCUCGUAGGCGGUCUGUCACGUCGGGAGUGAAAACACGGGGCUUAACCCCGUGCCUGCUUCCGAUACGGGCAGACUAGAGGUAUGCAGGGGAGAACGGAAUUCCUGGUGUAGCGGUGAAAUGCGCAGAUAUCAGGAGGAACACCUGCGGUGUAGACGGCUUUCUGGACCAUUGUUGACGCUGAGACACGAAAGCGUGGGUAGCAAACAGG
rnacentral:rRNA from 1 species